AGAGUUUGAUCCUGGCUCAGGAUGAACGCUGGCGGCGUGCUUAACACAUGCAAGUCGAACGAGGUCCAACCUUCGGGUGAAGACUUAGUGGCGAACGGGUGAGUAACACGUGGGCAACCUGCCCCUCACACUGGGAUAACUCAGGGAAACUUGAGCUAAUACCGGAUACUUCGGGAUGAUCGCAUGGUCGACUCGAGAAAGCUCCGGCGGUGAGGGAUGGGCCCGCGGUCCAUUAGCUUGUUGGUGAGGUAACGGCUCACCAAGGCUGCGAUGGAUAGCCGAGCUGAGAGGCUGAUCGGCCACACUGGGACUGAGACACGGCCCAGACUCCUACGGGAGGCAGCAGUGGGGAAUCUUGCGCAAUGGGCGAAAGCCUGACGCAGCAACGCCGCGUGCGGGAUGAAGGCUCUCGGGUCGUAAACCGCUUUCAGUAGGGACGAAACUGACUGUACCUACAGAAGAAGCCCCGGCUAAAUACGUGCCAGCAGCCGCGGUAAUACGUAUGGGGCAAGCGUUAUCCGGAUUCAUUGGGCGUAAAGAGCGCGUAGGCGGCUUGUUAAGUCAGAUGUGAAAACCGGGGGCUCAACCCCCGGCCUGCAUCUGAAACUGGCAGGCUUGAGUCUGGUAGAGGAAAGUGGAAUUCCCAGUGUAGCGGUGAAAUGCGCAGAUAUUGGGAGGAACACCAGUGGCGAAGGCGGCUUUCUGGGCCACGACUGACGCUGAGGCGCGAAAGCUAGGGGAGCAAACAGGAUUAGAUACUCUGGUAGUCCUAGCCGUAAACGAUGGGCACUAGGUGUGGUGGGUCAUCAACUCCCUCCGUGCCGCAGCUAACGCAUUAAGUGCCCCGCCUGGGGAGUACGACCGCAAGGUUAAAACUCAAAUGAAUUGACGG
rnacentral:rRNA from 1 species